CACGUAGGGGGCAAGCGUUGUCCGGAUUUAUUGGGCGUAAAGAGCUCGUAGGUGGCUUAGUAAGUCGGGUGUGAAACCUCCAGGCUCAACCUGGAGACGCCACCCGAUACUGCUAUAGCUUGAGUCCGGUAGGGGAGCGUGGAAUUCCUGGUGUAGCGGUGAAAUGCGCAGAUAUCGAGAGGAACACCUGCGGCGAAGGCGGGUUGCUGGGCUGACACUGACGCUGAUGUGCGAAAGCCAGGGGAGCGAACGGG
rnacentral:rRNA from 1 species